GUGAUGUUAAUCGUUUGCCUACGUAGAUCCUUCUCCAGAGAAGCGAAAACUGAGUUUUUAGUGUGUUGAAGUCUUCAGCGCUUAAUCAGGAGGGGCAUGAAUGCCGGUACGCAGUUGUGAACUGCGAAUUUUGUCGCAUAUUGAACAAAAGUGGAAGAGGUAAUCGAGAUUAUAAACCGGGAAAUGAUAACAAGAUUUUAUCGGCGAACUGUGGGAAAAUGAUUUGACGUACUAAUUGUGCGCCUUUUAUCCUUAGGAAAGCCCAUUUUAAAGGAGUUGUCAUGGAUACCGAAUUGAAGAUGUCGCUGUUCACUACCGUCUGCGCGCUGGCGGUCAUUAUCGCUUUCAGCUUCGUUGCCGCGUUGAACUGAUUU
rnacentral:sRNA from 1 species